UUGUAGGGUGCUAUAACUAUCAUUAGCUGA
rnacentral:piRNA from 1 species